ACUUGGGUUCAUCUUCAUGAGGUGUAAUGGCGCCGGGAUGCGCUCUCCUCUUCUCAUUUGCCAAUUUAUUGCAGAUCCCUCCUCGAAAAAGUUUUGGGACUAACUCAGCCCCAUGGAGAUCAAGGUGAAUUAGAAAAACAACAAAACAAAACAAGAUUCAUUUUAACAUCUCAUUUUUCUAUCUCCAACUUUCCCUCCCCUCCUCCCACCCCAGGAAGAAAAGACUACGUUUGUUUCUGGUGAUACAUUCAUUGUAGGUGGGUGGGUGACUUCUAGAAGAGGAAAAUCAAGAAGAUUUGGAGAAGGAGUCUUGGAAGCUCUGGUGAAGUUUUCCAAAACUGGGAAGGACAGAGUCUGCUCAGCCUGUGUUAGUGGAGAAGAGGGAAGGAAACUGGCUGGAGGCCGCUGGACCCACAGAGGACAAUAGACAAUCUCCUGCUAAAUGACAAACCAGUAUCUUGAGUAAAAUAAUGACUUGGACUGUAAGAAAUUAAUUAGAAAACAUCUGUGCAAUGUAGUGGAAGAAAAAGAAAAUGAGACCCAGAAGACCCAAAUCACAAAUCAAAAGGACCUCACAGAAGAUUCUACAAUUGAGAUUAUUUAUCCUGGGAUGCCCACUGGAUCCAAAGAGAGAAACUCUAUAGAAUUAUGAUCUAGGUUUGACUGACUCCUGGCAAGAAGCCCUACCCGCCAGCCAAUUUGGAUGAGGAACACAGAAUCACUUGUGGAAUUAAGAGAUAAGGACAGCAAGUAGACCAAACUAUAAGCUGAGGUUCAAGGUGGCAUAGGCUGGGUGCCACAGUGCUGUGUCUCAGGUGGGCUAGAAGUGCGAAACGGACAGUACCAGAAGGAAAACUUGAGGGUCACAGGGGUCAUCCAUCUUUCCUUCUAUGUGACUGGUUUGCUCUUGCAUAUCAUGUUUUCCGCUCUUAUGCUCCAGAUCCAUCAUGAGAAGAACAUGCCCUGGAUUCCUGCUAUCCCUUUAGCCAUGGCUCCAAAAUUAACACACACAAGGAAGACCUGAGGUCAAUCCACAGCCUGGAUUCAAGUCACCUAAUACGUAGGAGAAUCAGAGCUACCCAGCCAAACUCAAUCUACGUUAACUGAACCUCAGCUGACCUGCAGAUUUAUGAGUAUGAGAAUAAAGGCUUGUUAAUG
rnacentral:sRNA from 1 species